rnacentral:lncRNA from 1 species
GGAGGGGAGGGGAGGCGAGGACGGCGUCAGAGGAGGAGGAAAGCGCAUCGGCACGAGGGUCGAUACUAAGCAUGUGGAGAUCGGACAGCUAUUGGCGGAGGAGGAGGAGAGCGCGCUGUCGUCCGCUCCGGCAGCCUGAAAAGAAAGAGAAAGAGGAAGAUGGUUGUUUUGGAGUGACAUAUUUGUGAGGGUAAAAUUGUCAUUUCAUAACUCUACUGUUAAAAAAUUAACAGCUCUCUAACGGAUCUUGACCAGAGGGACAUAUCUGAAUAUAAUAGGACUUUUGUAGGAAUAACUUAUGAAAGUUGAAUUUUUCAGAGAUAUAUCUGCAAUUCACCAUAUUUGCAGAAACGUAUAUGCAAUUAACUCAAAAAAAAUUUUAGGGUUGGAAUUAUAGCAGUCUCCUUAGGGUUUAGUAGUAGUCCCCUUAUGAUUGAGCGGGCGGUUGGUUGAAUAAUAUAAUUUAACGGAUAGAAUUGAUCAAGAGGUAGAUCUAGUAGUAAAAAAUUUGAUAGCACCAAGUAUUUAAUUAAUAUUAUUAAUAACUAGUAUUUAACCCGUGCUAUGCACGGAUAAUAUAAUAAUAUAAAAUAACAUAAGUUAUUAUGUGAUGAUAAAAAAAUUUAUUCUAAUUAAUAUUAUAUUUUUUUAAAUAAUAAAGAAAUAUACUAUUGAUCUUAAUUAUAGUACAUAUUAAAGUACAAAAGCUAGAAUUAAUCUGUAAAAUAAUUUACAAUUACAUAUUGAUGUGCAAAACAAAAUGAUAACUAAAAUUGAUAUUCAAAAUUACAAAUGAUAUUAGUAUUUAAGCAUAUAAUGAGAUCAACUAAACUUUCAUAUUCUACACAAAUUAGAGUAAGCAUACGUAUAUGAGAGACAAAUAAAUUUUCAAGAUUCAAAAAUAUAUAGAUAUUGGUCUUCAAGAAAAUAUAAAGAAAAAAAUUUUGUUGCAUGAAGAUGAAAAGUACAUGCUCCAAUAACAAUAUAGAUAAAUUGUUAGAUAAGCAAAAUGAUAAAUAUCAUAAUAUUAGUGUAUUUUUUUCAGAAAAAUAUCUAAACUUAUUUAAAAAAUAAAAUGACAAAGUUGAAUUGUUGAAAAAUUGUAAAUUUCGAAAUAACAUGAGAAAAAAUAAACCGCUCACCUAUUUUAAGUUCUGAAACACUUAUUUAAAAACCACAUUACUUGUGGUUUUGGAUAACAAACCAACUUUAUCACAAAUUAAAAUAUUCAAUCCGUGCUUGCUUCGAACUCUAGAUAUUGCAACAUAUAACUGACCAUGACUGAAUAUCGGUCUAGGUAGAUAUAAGCCAACAUGUGAUAACGAUUGACCUUGACUCUUGUUUAUUGUCAUAGCAAAACAAACAGCCAACUAAAGAUGUCUGUGGACCGGGUCGGGUCUGGGUAAUUAAUAUACUGUACCCAUACCCUAAAAAGAAAUGGUUACAAAAAAUAUAUAUAUACCCUACCCAUUUAACUUUGGGUCGGGCCCGGAUCUGGGUACUAAAGUUACUAAUAUACCCAUCGGGUCUAUUUGAGCGGGUCUGAGUAGUGACUACCCGUAUAUUACCCGUUCAAGACCGGAUAUGGAUCGGGUCUAGAUCGGGUACGGAUAUCCGUAUAAAUAUAUAUUUUUUAUAAACUUUAUUAAAUAGUCAAUAGACAAACUAUAAAGCCCACCAUAAAAAAACUCGCAUUUUAAUAAGUUGUACCGUCCAAUAAAAUUCAUUCAAAAGAAAUAUUGUCGCUGAUGAUGAUGAUGACAAUGAAAUAUUGUUGGCGGAAAUGAAAUGAAAAAAAAUGAGUAGAAAACAAAUAGUAAAGAAAUUAGAAAAAAGUAAUGAGUAAAAGAGACGGCUAGGGUUUCAUUAGGAUGAAAAUACGUAGUGACUCAUCAUCUAUAAGUCAUAUUAAAAUUGAUCCUUCAACUUCAAAAGUUUAUUUUUUUUUUAUUUACUAUCGGAUAUUUCAUCGGGUCCGGGUCAGGGUCCGGAUUUGAAAACUAUUCCGGACCCUACCCAUUUAAAAGUUAGGUUCGGGUCGGGUCCAAAUCAGGUAUGGGUAUAAAAUAUCCGGACCCAUAUCCGAAACUUUAAUGGGUAAUUUUUUUUAUCCGUAUACUAUUCAUUUUUUAUCGGGUCCGGUUCGGGUCUGGAUAGGGUCCGAGUCGGAUAUGGGAUAUCGGAUAUUUUGGACACCUUUACAGUCAACGAAAAUUGCCUUAGUUGCAUUUUAAAAAGUAACUUGGAGUCUGAUGGAGUAAUCACCAUACGGGGUAUAAACACUUUCUCCCCAAUAUUGCUCCCAGAAAUCACUUUUGCUUCUAUUAUGUAUUUUCCCAAUUGGGUGAUCACUAAUCUGGUUCCAUUGCAUAAACCUAAAGACUUGUCUAUAUUUCUCAAUAACAUCACAAAAGCAGCUUGCUUCAAUUUGAUCAUGUGAUUAGGAACUCCUGAGCAUUUAUGAUUGAACGGGCGGUUGGUUGAAUAAUAUAAUUUAACGGAUAGAAUUGAUCAAGAGGUAGAUCUAGUAGUAAAAAAUUUGAUAGCACCAAGUGUUUAAUUAAUAUUAUUAAUAAUAUUCUAGUCGGACUCAUAUAAUAUUACAUUAAGGCCCUGUUUUGAUGCAUAGUUAAAAAACUCAAUGGAAUUUUUAUUCUAUGGUUUUGGUCUAAAUGAAAUACGGAAUUCUGUAACUACAAAAAAAUUUCACAGCUUUUUUAAGCUGUUUGGAUACAGAUCAUACAAUUCCACAGUAUUUAUAACAAUUAAAUUUCUAAAAUUUUAAAAUUUAAAAUUCAAAAUUAAAAUUCAAAAUUCAAAAUUCAAAAUUUAAAAAUAAAAUUUUAAAAAUUAAAAUUCCAAAUUCAAAAUAUAAAAUUAAUGUCACGCCCCGGAUUACACGUUCCCCGGGCACGCCGACAAAUCCGCCGUAUACAAGAAAUUUUCCCUGUAUACGAAGCGAUAGCUGUACCUGUAAAUCAAACACUACUACGAACAGUAGUAGAGAGCUGCUAGAGAAAACUGAAGCUAAAUAAAACAGAGUUUCAUAUACAUAGUUCAGAUCCAAAAUACAGAGCUACUCGCACUGGCGAGUUAAGUCAACUAUGUACAUAAACUCGAAACAAAACAUCUACCUGCAGUAGGGCACCUCUAGCUCAGCACGUCGGGUAGGGCUCUAACUCGCGACGCCCUUGCCUCGAUCCUGAUCCACGGACGGUGCAGCAGCCGGAACCUGUGGCUCUGCAAAUACAUAGGUAACAACUGGGCGUGAGAACUACUGUAAAAACAAGUAGUCCUCAGUGGGUACCGCCCAAAACAACAUCGGUCACCCACUAAGCCUACAGAAGGGAGCAAGGAUAGAAGGAAAGCAGGAAGCAUACUCUACCGCUAUCAUCCACUACACUAUCAUGCUCUACACUAACCAACUGUAGGAAAUGUCAAAUCUGACCCAAUCCAAUCGGGACUGUAAGCAUACCCGUCCCCGGGACUGUGAAUACACCCGUCCCUGCCCCGUUGCGACUAUCAAGCUCUAUCCACACUAACUGGUCCGUGGAGAGCAAGUCCAACUGGCAUGAGCGACACCAACGCGAAAGCACAAGCCUGACUCCGGAGUGGCACUCGUGGGCGCUACCCAACCGAGUAUGCAGCGUAUCUCUGUCGAGCUCAAUCAGGCUCCAACUAGCCAAAGUCAAGUAAUCGACUCAAACUGUCUAACAACCAACAAGUAACGUGCCCUCAGCACAAUCUGACGCCAAAAAGGCGAUACGGUCCACCGUCAACUCUGACGGCACCCAACAAUCCGAAACGACCUGAACGACCCUGUAAAAAUCCACUCGGCGAACCAGCACGAGUGUAAAUACAUUCUAAACUACCUGGAGUACUCG